AUCGCUUCUGGCCUUUUUGACUAAGAUCAGUGCAGUGUAGGUUCUUAUCAGUUUAAUAUCUGAUACUUCCCCUAUCAGAGGACCAUAUAGUACAUGGAUUUUUCACUUCCUGGGCCGACAUGGAAGCUUGCUUUUGUCGCCCCGUGCAUUGACCCGCUAUGGGGUAUCUUCGGGUACAGUACACCAAAA